rnacentral:lncRNA from 1 species
CUCCCGCAAGCUCCCGCAGCCCCGGCGCUGCCUCGCUGACGGCUCUCCGCCUUCCAUGGCCGCCAUCUGAACCUGGGCUUCAGCUCUGUCCCCAGCCUCCCGGGGACUCAGAUUCCCUGACCCUGAUCCGACCCAGAAAUUGAGCCAGACACCUCGGGUGGCCUUCGAGUCAAUCUCUGGGCACACUCUGGGUGGCCACCAGCAUCUAACAAACGGAUGUCUGGACCCUAAGGGCCAGGGGGUGAGGGGAAGUGGGGCACACUUUUUAGACGAUGGUGGGGCUGAGGCCGGUUGGGCAGGAGAUCUGCCUCUGUCUCUCCAGUCACAGGACAGUCUCCUUUCCUCUCUGGGCAAAACUCUAAGGAGCUGGAGCCAUCCCUGGGUCCACAGUGUGAGAACGCCAAGGAAGAGCGUUAACGUCAUCGCGCCCGGCCAAGGGCGGCCAGGCAGGCAGCGAAGAUGCCAUCGCGCCGAGGUGGCGGCCACUGCGCCUGCGCGGUCCACGGCGCCUGCGAACAGCCUGAUUCCCGCGCUUUCUUCGCGGGCGGGAAGGGCGGCGGUUGCUGACGGGGCCGCCUGGACGACGGUUGACGGAGGUCUAGUGGGACAAUGUCAUAUUAUAAAUUUGGAAUGCUGAAUAGAAAAUUAUAGAUUUUGAUAUUGAAGGAAAUGAAGCGAAGCCUAAAUGAAAAUUCAGCUCGAAGUACAGCAGGCUGUUUGCCUGUUCCGUUGUUCAAUCAGAAAAAGAGGAACAGACAGCCAUUAACUUCUAAUCCACUUAAAGAUGAUUCAGAUUGGGCCUGGGAAGCUGUGAAUCC